rnacentral:sRNA from 1 species
GGUAAACCAAGAUCCAAACCUUAUUAGUAAAUAUUUGUUCAUGAUUUAUGUAUAUGAUUAAGAAGUUAUAAAAACCUUAAUCGCUGUCGCUGUCACUGCUGCUGCUGUGGUGACCAUCAUCAUGAUGUUUCUUCUCCUUCUUGUCCUUCUUCUUUUUCUUCUCACCGUCGUGGCUUUUGCCUUCUCCGUCGUGGCUUUUACCUUCACCACCGUGGAUCUUGUCUUUGAUCUUGUCAACAAUACCUUCUUUGUGCUCACCACUCUUGUGCUCGUCAACGUGUUUCUUGUGUUCCUCUUCCUUCUUGUGCUCACCUUCCUUGUUGCCUCCUCCAAUGUGGAGUGCGUCUCCGAUCUUGUUGAUGAGUCCUGCCAUAUCUUUCUUUUUUCUCUUUCUUUUGUAUUAAAUCUCUCUUUUAUGUGUUUGGUUGCUUUGACGAUAAACUUGGAUCUCAAA